CCUACGGGAGGCAGCAGUGGGGAAUAUUGGGCAAUGGGCGCAAGCCUGACCCAGCAACGCCGCGUGAAGGAAGAAGGCUUUCGGGUUGUAAACUUCUUUUCUCAGGGACGAAGAAAGUGACGGUACUUGCGGAAUAAGCCACGGCUAACUACGUGCCAGCAGCCGCGGUAAUACGGAGGUGGCAAGCGUUAUCCGGAUUUAUUGGGUGUAAGGGGCGUGUAGGCGGGAGGGAAAGUCAGAUGUGAAAACUCAGGGCUCAACCCUGGGCCUGCAGUUGAAACUGUGUUUCGUGAGUGCUGGAGAGGCAAGCGGAAUGCCGGGUGUAGCGGUGGAAUGCGUAGAUAUACGGAAGAACACCAGUGGCGAAGGCGGAUUGCUGGACAGUAACUGACGCUGAGGCGCGAAAGCGUGGGGAGCAAACAGGAUUAGAUACCCGUGUAGUC
rnacentral:rRNA from 1 species